ACUUGCCUUCACACACACACACACACACACACACACACACAGAGUUCUCCAAAGGCAAUUUUACCCCAAAUACCAGGGCAGUAACUGCAGUUAUACAGGUUUUAUCACAUUUCCCGCACAAAUACAACACAGUUUAAAAAGCUCAGUCUUCAGAACCUAUGUAAAGGCCACAGAUCAAAGAUAGUUCUUUCCCCCCUCUCAGUUUCUUCUUGUAUGAAGGUCAUGAAGCAGGUCUUAUUUUUCCUGGUUUUAUAAAUAGACCCAAGCCAGAAGUUGCUGAGCUCUCUAAAAACAUAAAUGUAAGUAUGAAUAUGUAUGUAUGCAAAUAUAAACACACACAUGGAGGGUGUGAAACAGACGCCACUCUAGAACUUAAGCAUAACGUCCUUACCCCUCAAGAACAGCUCUUUAUAAUACGACAUAGGAUUCUAGCCCAUGAGUUGGCAGGGCUGAUUAAGAAGGCUUUCAACUAGGUUUGAAGGGAGCAGGGGAUAAGACCAGGCUUGCUAGAGAUGAGCCUGGAGGCAGCAUGCCAGUGUUGGGGAUGAAAUGGAUAGCCCAGCUGAAGUGCAUUUACACCAAUGCAGACAGCUUGGAUAACAAACUGGAGGAGCUGGAAGCCAUUGCGCAGCGGGAAAGCUAUGGCACAGUUGCCAUCGUGGAAAUGUGGUUGCAUGACUGAAGUGUUGCAGUGGAUGGUUAUAAGCUCUUCAUAAGCGAGAGGAAAGAGAGGUGUGGUGUUGACGUGGCUCUGUACAUUAGGGAGUGUUUUGACUUGGUAGAGCUGAAGGACAGUGAUAAGGUUGACUGCCUAUUGGUGAGAAUCAGAAGGCCAACAAGGCAGACAUUCUGGUGGGAGUUUGUUACAGACCACCCAACCAGGAUGAAGAGGCAGAUGAGAUGUUCUGUAAGCAGCUGGCUGAUGUCACAAUCGCUAAUUUUUGUGGGAGACUUUAACCUGCUGGAUGUCUGCUGGAAACCUGACACAGCAGAGAGGAGGCAGUCCAGGAGGUUCCUGGAAUGUGUGGAAGAUAACUUCCUGACACAGCUGCAAUGCAGUAACAUGAAGUUUUCAUCACUGUUAUCCUCCAGGAAUUAUAGAGGGAUGUACAUAUUGCCUUGAAGCCAUUAAUUGUGAAGCAGAAUUCACAAAGCACUGACAACAGCAGCACCACCAACGAAUCUUCAGGGCACCUCAUAAUUUCAAGACGGCAGACUGAAAAUCAAGGACAGCUAAAAGAAACAAUGGUGAGGGCUGCAGCUUUUCUGAACCAAAGAGCAUCACGAUAGGUAUGACACUGCCAAAAUCCUACACAAGGAGUCAAGUUAGCUCCUGACUCAUAUAAUCAAUACACAUAUACAAAAAUCAAACUAA